GAUGAACGCUGGCGGCGUGCUUAACACAUGCAAGUCGAACGAGAAGUGAAGACGGAAACCUUCGGGCGGAAGGCUUUAUUUCGAGUGGCGGACGGGUGAGUAACGCGUGGGUAACCUGCCUCAUACAGGGGGAUAACAGUUGGAAACGACUGUUAAUACCGCAUAAGACCACAGCACCGCAUGGUGCGGGGGUAAAAACUCCGGUGGUAUGAGAUGGACCCGCGUUCGAUUAGCCAGUUGGCGGGGUAACGGCCCACCAAAGCGACGAUCGAUAGCCGAUCGGAGAGGAGGCCCGGCCACAUUGGGACUGAGACACGGCCCAAACUCCUACGGGAGGCAGCAGUGGGGAAUAUUGCACAAUGGGGGAAACCCUGAUGCAGCGACGCCGCGUGAGUGAAGAAGUAUUUCGGUAUGUAAAGCUCUAUCAGCAGGGAAGAAAAUGACGGUACCUGAGGAAGAAGCCCCGGCUAACUACGUG
rnacentral:rRNA from 1 species